rnacentral:rRNA from 1 species
UUACUGGCUCAGGAUGAACGCUAGCUACAGGCUUAACACAUGCAAGUCGAGGGGCAGCAUUGGGAUAGCUUGCUAUUCAGAUGGCGACCGGCGCACGGGUGAGUAACGCGUAUCCAACCUUCCUGCCAGUAGGGAACAGCCCGGCGAAAGUCGGAUUAAUGCCCUAUGUUCUUCAAUGCGGACAUCUAAGUUGAAGGAAAGAUUCAUCGCUGGCAGAUGGGGAUGCGUCCGAUUAGCUUGCCGGCGGGGUAACGGCCCACCGGGGCGACGAUCGGUAGGGUUCUGAGAGGAAGGUCCCCCACACUGGUACUGAGACACGGACCAGACUCCUACGGGAGGCAGCAGUGAGGAAUAUUGGUCAAUGGGCGUAAGCCUGAACCAGCCAAGUAGCGUGCCAGGACGACGGCCCUACGGGUUGUAAACUGCCUUUAUGCGGGGAUAAAGUGCGGCACGUGUGCCGCUUUGCAGGUACCGCAUGAAUAAGGACCGGCUAAUUCCGUGCCAGCCGCCGC